rnacentral:rRNA from 1 species
AGUGAACGCUGGCGGUAGGCCUAACACAUGCAAGUCGAACGGCAGCACAGUAAGAGCUUGCUCUUACGGGUGGCGAGUGGCGGACGGGUGAGGAAUACAUCGGAAUCAACCUUUUCGUGGGGGAUAACGUAGGGAAACUUACGCUAAUACCGCAUACGACCUACGGGUGAAAGCAGGGGAUCUUCGGACCUUGCGCGAUUGAAUGAGCCGAUGUCGGAUUAGCUAGUUGGCGGGGUAAAGGCCCACCAAGGCGACGAUCCGUAGCUGGUCUGAGAGGAUGAUCAGCCACACUGGAACUGAGACACGGUCCAGACUCCUACGGGAGGCAGCAGUGGGGAAUAUUGGACAAUGGGCGCAAGCCUGAUCCAGCCAUACCGCGUGGGUGAAGAAGGCCUUCGGGUUGUAAAGCCCUUUUGUUGGGAAAGAAAAGCAGCAGGUUAAUACCCCGCUGUUCUGACGGUACCCAAAGAAUAAGCACCGGCUAACUUCGUG